ACGUUGGCGAGUCCAUCUUGCACCCUGAGAGGAGGAAACGAGCUAGCAGAGCUCAUGCGGCCAGUCUCGGCAAGAUGCGCACUGUCGUGUGGGUUUGGCUUUCGCACUUCGGGCAGCCGGUGACACCGAACGUAAGGUCGCUUCGACGCUCUCGCCCUCGGUCACGCCAGCCACCGCAAGCUUCGCUCAGAACAAGGGGUGCGCCAAGAGGAGUGAGAGGGGGAAUAGGAUAGCGGGAAGGAGAGGAGGAUGGACGGCCAUUUAUUUCAAUAGGAAGGAAGACGACUGUGCUAAUGGCUCACGAGCCACUCGGAUCCAGCAAUUUGUCUUGGGCCUCCGCUGCUGCUACGGCAGGUCGGUUUGAGCGCAGCUCGUCUAGUGAACGUCUCUAGGGAGGGAUUGCGAGCCGCAGCCGUCCUUUUUCUUUUCUUCCCUCUCUCAAUGCUGCUCCAUACCUGCAGCCAGUGUCAUCAGUCCAUAUUAAACAGCGCAAUUCUUCUUUC